rnacentral:rRNA from 1 species
UACGUAGGGGGCAAGCGUUGUCCGGAAUCAUUGGGCGUAAAGAGCGCGUAGGCGGCCCUGUAAGUCCGCUGUGAAAGUCAAGGGCUCAACCCUUGGAUGCCGGUGGAUACUGCAGGGCUAGAGUCCGGAAGAGGCGAGUGGAAUUCCUGGUGUAGCGGUGAAAUGCGCAGAUAUCAGGAGGAACACCGAUGGCGAAGGCAGCUCGCUGGGACGGUACUGACGCUGAGGCGCGAAAACGUGGGGAGCAAACAGG